GGUGCGGGGGGGGGGGAGGAGAACAAAAUAAGAUUCAUUUUAGACUUGUUGCCAUAGGGGAAGCCCCCUUAGAGAGUUGGAAAUAAUGGAUCCAAUGCUCUGGAGACAGGUUAGAGCCAAAGCCAAGAGGUAGGCAUCACUGAUGGCCAGGAAUUAAAUAGAGUGACAGGAAUGGGUGAGAUCACGUAAGCAUAACAUCCAGUGAAGAGAAAUGGCUUCUCUACUUUGCUUCAUUCUGGUUUGGCCCCGUGGGCCCUGACCAUCUCAAUUUGAUAUUUUACUGAUUUAACAAACAUUAUAUUGGGCUCACUAGCCACCUGUCCACAGGUUCAUGAGGAUAAAUAAAAAUCUUGGUUUAGAUCCAGGUUAGUAUAAAUUUUCCCAGCUCAGCUGGUUGGUCUGUCUUGGGCCUCAUGAAGCAGAUUUUAAAACCAAACUAUCUAAAGGACUUCAUUUUUCAGCCCUCCCAUGUAAAGGACUAUCUUGUGGUCCUAACCUCAAGGACAGUAUUUGCAUCCGGUUUACUGUAAUUCUGUCCUGGGCCCAGAAUAGGGACUAAGUGACAUCUUAGGACUAGAAAGGGUACUGGAGAACACCCGUUGUCGGGAGAUGGUUAUUGAGUAUCUGCUGUGAGCCAGGUUCUUGCUAGGGUGGAGGAGGACGAAGCCCCAGGCCAGUGGAGGAGACACUUGCAUGUUGCACCUUCCCUCACACCUCCAGAAUCUGCUAGUUUUGCAUAGCUCUGCUACCAUUCUACAUCUGUCAGAGCCGAUUGUAAUGUCUAGGAAAGGAAAGGGAACUCACCCUAAGCGACAGUUCCAUCAAACACCUGUAGCUGUGGAUGCCAGAAGUUUCCUCACCUUAAUUUCACAUUUAAAUAUUACAGUAGCAUGUUGGACAGGUAAGUAAAAAACACAGGUUGUGCUCGAUUGGUUUUGGAUCAAUCAUUGUUUCUGUAAUAUGAAACUGAAGUCUUUGGGUACCUAUAAUAGACAUCCAGAGCAAGGUGCCUAAAGCACCAGAAAAUAUCAUAAUUUAAACUAUGUAUUUGUUAAAAUCAAACAAUUUGAAUACCUUACUUUUUUCAGUGCUUACUCUCAUGUCAUACACAUCUCAACACCUAUUUGUUUCACUAGCUGUUGUGCCUGAGAAGAUCAAACUAUUAAGUGCCCACUAGUGUGUAAAGCACUAAGGAAGAGAGAGCAGAAUGUAGCUCCCACUCCUUAAAGGCGUAUCUUCUAGUUGGGAAAUCAUUGCAUAUAAAAAUAGAACUAAUAAUGCAAAGGAUACUGGCAAGUUCAAGGGGUUGUAUAAGUCCUGUCAGAAAGGAGGUCAUGUGCAGUGAGCUAAGUGCUUUGGCCAGUGCCAAAUGUUUCAUUCAUUCAAUAGCAGCGUAAAAAGUAUCACAACCAUGGUGUUAACAUUUGAGUAGGGUAUGCAGAUGAAACAUACAACAGAUACUGAUAAAGUGAUGAAGAUGACUAAAGCCAGUAAGAGUGAGGGGGUUAUUUUAUAAUUAAUGUUAUUAUUUUACAACAUACAAAAUAAAACUAUUACCACAUUGUAAAUACAAAAUAAUUAGCCAUUUACAUGCAAUAAACAUUAAUAUUGCAAGAAAAACUAUUUUAAAUAUAAUAUUAAUGCGAUAAAUGUUAAUAUUUCAAGAAAAAAAUUUAAUAUUACCAAAACUGUACUAACAUAAUAUCACAAGUUGUAGGAAAUAUUAAAAACCUGCAAAUAACAGGAUUACUUCUAUUUUAAAAUAUUUUUUUCCUCUGGCUCUAUUUUUCUUCAUCAGUUUAUGUUGUUCAUUAUAUUUCACUUAGCAUAAUGCUCUCCAGGUCCAUCCAUGCUGUUGCAAAUGGUAAGAGUUCCUUCUUUUUUACAGCAGCAUAGUAUUCCAUUGUGUAGAUGUACCACAGUUUUUUAAUUCACUCAUCUGCUGAUGGGCGCUUAGGCUGUUUCCAAAUCUUAGCUAUUGUAAAUUGUGCUGCUAUGAACAUAGGGAUGCAUAUAUCCUUUCUGACUAGUGUUUCUGUUUUCGUAGGAUAUAUUCCUAGAAGUGGGAUUACUGGGUCAAAUGGGAGUUCCAUUUUUGAUUUUUUGAGGAAACUCCAUACUGUUUUCCACAGUGGCUGCACCAGUCUGCAUUCCCACCAGCAGUGCAAGAGGGUUCCUUUUUCUCCACAUCCUCUCCAGCACUUGUCAUUUGUUGAUGAUACCAUUCUGACAGGUGUGGGAUGGUACCUCAUUGUUGUUUUGAUUUGCAUCGCUUGGAUGAUUAGUGACUUUGAGCAUGUUUUCAUAUGUCUCUUGACCUUCUGUAUGUCCUCUUUCAAAGGCUUUCUGUAGGUCCUUUGCCCACUUUUUGAUUGGAUUGUUUAUCUUCCUUUUGUUAAGUUGUAUGAGUUCUCUGUAAAGGUUGGAGAUUAAACUCUUAUUGGAGAUAACAUUAGCAAAUAUGUUCUCCCAUGCAGUGGGCUUGUUUUGUCGAUGGAUUUUUUUGCUGUGCAGACACUUUUCAUUGUGUUGUAGUCCCAUUUGUUUAUUUUCUCCUUAGUUUCCAUUGCUGUAGGAGCUGUGUCAGUAAAGAUAUUGCUCCAACACAUGUCUGACAUUUUGCUGCCUAUGGAUUCUUCUAAGUUUUUAUGGUUUCCUGUCAUAUGUCCUUUAUCCAUUUUGAGUUUGUUUUUGUGUAUGGUGUAAGUUGGUGGUCUAGUUUCAUUUUUUUUUUGCAUGUAUCUGUCCAAUUUUUCCAACAUGCGGGGUUAUUUUAGAUGAGUAGGGUCAACAUCUGUCAGGUAUUUCAAGUGCAGAUCAAUUACUGGCUUUCCUCGGAAGAUUGGAAGAUCUGGCAAGGUUAGGUCUGAAUUUCUGUAUUCAGUUGGAGCUGAGUCACUAUUGCCAUUCAGAGAGUUUUGGCCCUCUCCACUUCCCCAUGUUCCCCAACUCUUCCUUAUCUUACACCCCCCUCUCUUUACUCGUGUGUUACUACAUUCUAGGCUUCUAAAGGAAUUUGAGUUGUGACCUCUGCUUUAGAAGAAAACACCACAGGUUGGCUUAGGCUACAUUUUCUUCCUUCAAUUAAUCGGUCAAUCUCCCAUAUCCCUAUAAACUCAGAUGUGCUUUUAAUCUACUUUAAAAAUAAUCAUAGAUUCUAUAAACAUAGUGGAUUAAUCAUAUAUGUUAGGUGGCCUCUUUCAAAGCCUUACUAAAGAGGAAAGGAAGAAAGGAUGCAUAAAUCCAGGAAGACAAUCUGCAAGAGAACAGUGGAAGAGACAUCAGUGGAUGAGAGGAUGUGAGAAUUUGGAAGAUGGAAAGUACUGAAGGACCAAAGGGAGACAGUAAACCAAACCAAAGGCCACAUGGGAUCCAAGAAACGGAUGGAAUGACACAGAGAGAAGAAGCUUUCCAGGAGGAUGAGGGCAGGUUGGAAGCGGCUAAGACAAACACGAGAUCUUCCGAGCGAGCCAGCCCAUCCAUCUGCACCAGCAGCUCUGUCUUCAUCCGAAGGCUUCCUUCGUGCUCUCCCCUAGAGAGAGAAAGGAGG